CCCCCUCCCAGGUGCUCCUGUCUCUCCCAGAGCCUCCACCCUGGGUGCUGGGCCAGCAAGGGAGCAGCCGCCUGCUAUUCACCUCCAGUUCUUCAGGUCCACCAUGACUUUGGCCAUUGCCAUGGCAACCAUCUUGCACGUGGGUGGCCUGGCAGCCUCCCGAAGGAGCCAGCGGACGGAUGUGCUGCCCUUCCUGGGGCAGUUCUGAGGCACCCCAUGCCAUGCCACCCCAGC
rnacentral:lncRNA from 10 species